rnacentral:rRNA from 1 species
CUACGGGGGGCAGCAGUGAGGAAUAUUGCACAAUGGGGGGAACCCUGAUGCAGCAACGCCGCGUGGAGGAUGACGGCUCUCGGGCGGGAAAAUUAUUUUAUAUGUCAAGAAAAUGACGGUAGCAUAUGAAUAAGCACCGGCUAACUCCGUGCCAGCAGCCGCGGUAAUACGGAGGGUGCAAGCGUUACUCGGAAUCACUGGGCGUAAAGGACGCGUAGGCGGGUUGGAAAGUCAGGUGUGAAAUCCUACAGCUUAACUGUAGAACUGCACUUGAAACUUCUAAUCUAGAGUAUGGGAGGGGGAGAUGGAAUUAGUGGUGUAGGGGUAAAAUCCGUAGAUAUCACUAGGAAUACCUAAAGCGAAGGCGAUCUCCUGGAACAUUACUGACGCUAAGGCGUGAAAGCGUGGGGAGCAAACAGGAUUAGAUACCCGCGUAGUC